rnacentral:piRNA from 1 species
UUCGUUGUUUUUGCGAAUCAA